AAUCAACGCUGGCGGCGUGCCUAACACAUGCAAGUCGAACGCGAAAGGGGAGCAAUCCCUGAGUAGAGUGGCAAACGGGUGAGUAACACGUGGGUGACCUGCCUUCGAGUGGGGGAUAACGUCCCGAAAGGGACGCUAAUACCGCAUGACAUCCUGCUUUUGGAAAAGCGGAGAUCAAAGCUGGGGAUCGCAAGACCUAGCGCUUGAAGAGGGGCCCGCGCCUGAUUAGCUAGUGGUGAGGUAAUGGCUCACCAAGGCUACGAUCAGUAUCCGGCCUGAGAGGGCGGACGGACACACUGGGACUGAGACACGGCCCAGACUCCUACGGAGGCAGCAGUGGGGAAUUGUUCGCAAUGGGCGCAAGCCUGACGACGCAACGCCGCGUGGAGGAU
rnacentral:rRNA from 1 species